rnacentral:rRNA from 1 species
UACGUAGGGGGCAAGCGUUGUCCGGAAUCAUUGGGCGUAAAGCGCGUGUAGGCGGUCCGGUAAGUCCGCUGUGAAAGUCCAGGGCUCAACCCUGGGAUGCCGGUGGAUACUGUCGGGCUAGAGUACGGAAGAGACGAGUGGAAUUCCCGGUGUAGCGGUGAAAUGCGCAGAUAUCGGGAGGAACACCAAUUGCGAAGGCAGCUCGCUGGGACGUUACUGACGCUGAGACGCGAAAGCGUGGGGAGCAAACAGG